GAUCCUGGCUCAGGACGAACGCUGGCGGCGUGCCUAAUACAUGCAAGUAGAACGCUGAAGAGAGGAGCCUGCUCUUCUUGGAUGAGUUGCGAACGGGUGAGUAACGCGUAGGUAACCUGCCUUGUAGCGGGGGAUAACUAUUGGAAACGAUGCUAAUACCGCAUAACAAUGGGUGACACAUGUCAUUUAUUUGAAAGGGGGCAAUUGCUCCACUACAAGAUGGACCUGCGUUGUA
rnacentral:rRNA from 1 species